GGUGUGAAAGAGAUGUCUUUAUUCUGUUUCACUAUUCAAUGUAUAAUUAAUACAUUUAUGUUAAAGGACUUUCCUUAAAACUGUAAUUAAUUUAAUGUAAACAAUGACCGUUUUGUGCAACGUGUGCCAACCAACGUGUGAAGUACAACCAGAGAAACAGAAUGGUCAAACGAUUUCCAUGGUAAUUUGCACAGCAGGUUUCUUAUACAAAGCAGUUACACAAACAACAUUAAAACACACGCACGCUUUCAUAAAAUAAAUAAUUCCCAUCCAAUUGAAGACUAUAAAACAAGACAGAAAAUACAGGCAACUUAUUUGGGGGGAUCCUUAAUUACUUCUCACAUUCACUCGUUUCUGCUGUUACAUUUCUCUUACCCUUAAGAAAACACUUCUACAGGGUGCAGUUAAAUAGCUUAGUGAUUGCUUUUUUUAUUUGCAAAUACUCUGAAAGCCUCUGAUCAUUGAACACAUCAAGAAUCAAAAAUUUUAAUUAAAAAAAUAAAACCUAAUCUUAAGUACAGCUGUUAUGGUGAACAGUUCAGAAACAGAUCAUCAUUUGGACCACCCUGCUUCUCAUCUUCCCCUUUAACAUUAUUCCUACCUUUAGUAAUCACACUUGCAAAAAUAAAUCCUUUGUACAGUCUGGAGAUCUGAAAUUCACCCUUUUAGUUGAUUAUUGUUAAAAGGAUGCAAAGUCAUAACUAACUUUUAAACCUCAGACAAGUUGUGCCUUGCUUUGGAGAUAGAUACAAACCUUACAAGCUAAAGCUAAGGACGUUAUGAAGGCCCUAUUCAAUAAAUUCAUCUUGCAGAAGUCCAAGCUCAUUCUCUACUUCAACAAAAUUCAUCCCCUAAAAGUUACCAGUUCAGUGCAUUUCCACCUUGUAGGAGGGCACUGCUUCAAGGUGGUGAAACAGAUACUUCGGGACAUUAGGUUCAAUUACUAUCGAUCCCAUAUGCAUUACUGAAAUACUGAUUAAACUGCUAUGGAGGUAAAACCACUGCAUGUCCAUGUCUGCUGGUUAGGAAUCUAAAGUGAUUUUCUUAAUUACUACUUUUGCAAUGUGAGAACUAAACCCAAGCGAUGCUUAGUUGAUGGCACAGGAGUUUCCCUUUAAAUGUAUUUUUCAGAAAGCCUUCCCUGGUGAAUUCUUAAUGAAACCAUUUCAAGAGCUGUUCUAUCCAUGCGCCACUUGCACAAGUCUCGGGCCUGAGGCAUUUGGUUUUAAUGCUACACAAUUCUUGCACCUCCCCUUUUGAGAUUUUCAGAAAACGUCAUCACCUUCAAAUUUAGGUCUGACCUGUGAACUGUUUUGGGCUUUGGUACAAGCUUUUCUGUGGGCUGCAGAAUAGAACAGGAACCCAAACUUCCACCCAGAACCCUGGGACUGGGUGCCCUUGCUACAGACAGCGUGAAAGGCUCCUUCACCUGGGGAGCACCUACUGGAAUGGACUUUUGUCUUUGAUUAAUGCAAUAAAGUUCACUCCAGAGCUGUACAAACACAAACCUCAGGAUUUCCCUUAUCUCCUCUUCCUAGUCACUAGGUCUACAACAUUACCAUAUGGAUUCCCUCCCCGCCUCCACAUUCACAUAUAGAACUUCCAGAAGGUUCUUUUAAACAAAUCAAAUUUAAUCAAAUCUGAUUUGAUUAGGCAAAGGGAGUUCUGGCCUUCCAGACCCUCCUCAUUCCAGUACUUUUGUUCAUCAGUGGUUUUCUUGAAAGUAUCACGACUUUUAUAUUAAUACUUUUUGCAGUAAGUGCCAUACAACAGUUAAUUAUAUUUCUAAAUGUUUAUCUAUUAAAUAUUUUGGCAAUUUCUGUAAGCAACCUAACAGUUGCUUACAGUAUAGUAAGUAGUAUUGGGAAUUAAACAUAAAAGGGAAGUAAGAGUGUAAUGGUUUACAAAUAGGAAGGCUGCACCACUCUCUUAAUGAUGUACUGAGACCAACUAACCUUCUCGCACCUUCUUACAUUCCCUCAACAGGGUACCAGAGCAUCAGUUUGGACAAAGUGCUCUUAGGAGGCACUGGUGGAGUCAGGUGAUCCACUUCAAGAUUAGUGGGCUUCUUUGGGCAUAAACUUUAUUUCUAAUAAAAUUCAACUUCAGGGGUUUGGUUUUUUUUGUAAUUGUGGAAAAGUACAAAACUUCCAUAACUAGAAUGGAGUUGUCAUGCAGCUGUUCACAAGGAAAAUCUAAUUAAAAGAACUAGCCUGGUAUUAAAAUCAAAGCCCCUGUUUUUAACAGUUUGCAGUCUACUAUAAAAAUAUAUAUACAUUCCAGGGACUCGUUUCUGGGCCA
ensembl:lncRNA